rfam:Stegodyphus mimosarum contig46899, whole genome shotgun sequence.
GCCUUCGUGGUGUAGUGGUCAGCACACUCGGCGCGUAUUCGAGAGGUCCGUGGUUCGAGUCCCGGCGAGGGCA